GGAAGAAAUGGGCUACAUUUUCUACUUUAGAACAUAACGAAAUGUCUAUUGAAACAAAGAUAUGAAGGAGGAUUUAGCAGUAAAUUAAGAAUAGAGAGCUUAAUUGAAAAUGGCAAUAGGGUGCGCACACACCGCCCGUCACCCUCCUCAACAAAGUAACCACCUAUACCUAAUAAAAGUACAUAGGAAAGAGGAGAUAAGUCGUAACAUGGUAAGUGUACUGGAAGGUGCACUUGGAAUAUCAAAAUGUAG
rnacentral:rRNA from 1 species